rnacentral:rRNA from 1 species
CGUGAGGGAAGACUGCCCUAUGGGUUGUAAACCUCUUUUGUGCGGGGAUAAAGUGUGGGACGUGUCCCAUAUUGCAGGUACCGCACGAAUAAGGACCGGCUAAUUCCGUGCCAGCAGCCGCGGUAAUACGGAAGGUCCGGGCGUUAUCCGGAUUUAUUGGGUUUAAAGGGAGCGCAGGCCGUCCUUUAAGCGUGCUGUGAAAUGCCGCGGCUCAACCGUGGCACUGCAGCGCGAACUGGAGGACUUGAGUACGCACGAGGUAGGCGGAAUUCGUGGUGUAGCGGUGAAAUGCUUAGAUAUCACGAAGAACUCCGAUUGCGAAGGCAGCUUACCGGAGCGCAACUGACGCUGAGGCUCGAAAGCGCGGGUAUCGAACAGGAUUAGAUACCCUGGUAGUCCGCGCGGUAAACGAUGGAUGCCCGCCGUUGGGAUUUGGAUUUCAGCGGCCAAGCGAAAGCGUUAAGCAUCCCACCUGGGGAGUACGCCGGCAACGGUGAAACUCAAAGGAAUUGACGGGGGCCCGCACAAGCGGAGGAACAUGUGGUUUAAUUCGAUGAUACGCGAGGAACCUUACCCGGGCUUGAAUUGCAGGAGAACGAUCCAGAGAUGGUGAGGCCCUUCGGGGCUCCUGUGAAGGUGCUGCAUGGUUGUCGUCAGCUCGUGCCGUGAGGUGUCGGCUCAAGUGCCAUAACGAGCGCAACCCCUGUCCAUAGUUGCCAUCAGGUUAUGCUGGGCACUCUGUGGAGACUGCCGCCGUAAGGUGUGAGGAAGG